CACGUAGGGUGCGAGCGUUGUCCGGAAUUAUUGGGCGUAAAGAGCUCGUAGGCGGUGUGUCGCGUCGGCCGUGAAAACCUGCAGCUUAACUGUGGGCUUGCGGUCGAUACGGGCAUCACUGGAGUUCGGCAGGGGGAGACUGGAAUUCCUGGUGUAGCGGUGGAAUGCGCAGAUAUCAGGAGGAACACCGAUGGCGAAGGCAGGUCUCUGGGCCAUUACUGACAUGAGAACGAAA
rnacentral:rRNA from 1 species